CAAGGUUGAGGUUCCCGAUCAAAAGUGUUCACAGGAACCAGACUACACUAUCGAGCUGCGGUCUGUGGAACCUUCCAGCUAUGAGAAACUUUGUCUAGAAAUAGAUGAAACCACUUGUAGCUGCAUCUGCCUGGAGAAUGCCUCCAGUGUGGACAAAGGGAACUCAACCACAGCUCCAAUUGUAACUACCGUGCUGGUGAGAGGGACGAUUGAUUCAAAUGUGGACGUGACCACCAGAGAUCCAAGAACCAUCAUCCUAGUUUUACUU